rnacentral:sRNA from 1 species
CUUCCUCCAUCUGAGCAAUCAGCAUGAAUUUGGCCGGCUCCUGGCCACUUCCCGAUACGACACGGAGCACCUGCACCCUGACCUCUGGCAGAUCUUCGACAACCCCGUCGUGAGUGGGGCCCCCACGCCCAGAGCACACAGGUUCCCCGCUCUGUGCUAAGGAAGACACCAAACGUGAUGGCUGCCGCCAGCGCAGGACACUGAGCGGGAGGGGGUGGUCCCCUGGGGGCUGGGAGCGAGGGGGUCACAGAUCUGAUGUGACCCCCACCCUCCCACAGGAUUGGAAGGAGCAGUACAUCCACGAGAACUACAGCCGGGCCCUGGAAGGGGAAGGAAUCGUGGAGCAGCCAUGCCCGGACGUGUACUGGUUCCCACUGCUAUCAGAACAAAUGUGUGAUGAGCUGGUGGCAGAGAUGGAGCACUACGGCCAGUGGUCAGGUGGCCGGCAUGAGGUAAGGGCCUGGGUGAGGAGGGCAGAGGGCUCCCCAGAGGAGGAAGUGCGGGAUCCGGUAAACAAACAAUGGAAUCAGGAAAAUGGGAGCAAAGAGGGGUGCCCAAGGGGGAGGCAGACUCUGGGGUCACAACUGCAUUCAUUCAUGUAUUCAAGAAAUAUUUACUGCUGGGCACAGUGGCUCAUGCCUGUAAUCCUAGCACUUUGGGAGGCUGAGGCGGGAGGAUUGCUCGAGCAGGGGGAGUUUGAGGCCAGCCUGGG